CUUCCAACAUGGCCGCCAGGAGGCCUCGUACGUCAACCCUCUAUUUUUUGGGGGGGGGGUGACGUCUGGUGGAUGUGCGUCUGCAACCUUUUUCUGCGGUUUCUUUCUGCCGAGAGUCAGCGGACAAUUGAAAACCGGGGGUUGUAAGAUAUCGGAUUGAGAUAAAAUAGAAGAACGACAGUUACUGAUUUGUAUUUAGUUUUAAUAAUCUGAUAACACACCAAGAUGCCACCCAGAAAACGCAACUCUGGAGCAGCACAGGACAAGGAAAUUAAACCCAGCAUAGAAAAUGCCUCCUCGGACAAGCCUGAUUUUAUCGAUAGAAAGGCACAAAGAGAAGGAUGCUGACUUUGUGACUGACAGAUGCAGUGUGUGAUCGUGCCUGGGCAAUAUGGAAGGCAGUGCAGGCCUCAGUGGACAAAGUCCCUGACACUCAAAGGCUUUGUGGUGCUUGCUUGUUUGUGGCUGUGACUGACUUGGAAGUUGCAAGUUUUACCUUUCACUCAAGUCCAGAAGGCAGUGGAUCUGAAGCGAAGAGCAACAAAGACAUACACUUUCCCUCUUCAUGCCUAGUCAGAGUUCUGGCGAGGAAGGGUUCUAGCAGAUGGGGGAUGAUGUGGUCAUAUCCUUCCAUCUGAUGGCAUGUGUGUUCUGGAGUUCUUCAUCAGGCUCUGCCCUCCUAGCCUGCUGCAGCCACUUUACAAUAAGACUUUUUGACCUUCAGUCUCGGACUUCCCCUUCCUACUGCAAGCCUCAUGCCCUCACAUUGACAUUCUCUUUCAUUUACUUAAGACAAACACCCUAUCCAUCCACUUAUAAGGUUGAGACGUUGUCAUUUGUCACACAGAAUAGGUGAAGAAUGUGUACCAGACCAGUUUCUCUGCUUUUCUGGACUCCAUAGGCCUCUCUGGGACUCAGGACCUUCCCCAGUCCCUCCUGCAGCAAAGCACCUCCACAACACGCUUCAUCAAGGCUGAGCCCAGCCGGAGUAAAGACAUCGCAAGCACAUGGAGCUCUGCGAACACCUCAUCAUGGAGACUUUCCUGGAGAAGGGACUGUCCACUGUUUGAGCUGCUGAGACAAACUCGUGAGGGUCCAGUGGAGCAGGCUGAGCCACCUGCCACCCUCAACCAAUGAUGUGAUUUAAACCAGACUUAUGGUUCCAUUCAUCUUCCUCUGUCUUUUGGUAUUUUUCCCCUGUGCGAGCCAGAAACAGACCCCAGACGGCACCUGAAUAUCCAGGCCCUCCCUCCUCUCAGCCCUCUGCCACGGCAAACCAUCAGACCCCUUGGCACCCCAAGUCAAACUCUCUCAGCCUCUUCUACAAAAAAUUGUACCGUCUGGCCCACAUGACGCUGAAGAUGCUCUAUACACACCUGCUGACCUCUCACCCUGAGCUGGAGCCAAUCAUGUGGACUUUGCUUCAGCACACACUACAACAUGAGGCCAGUAUGUGUCCAUCGUUUUCUACAACCUGGUGUUCAUGCAGAAACUGACGACCAACAUCCUGCAGUACGCCUCUCCAAGGGAAACCUGAUGGAGAUUUGACACUGAUUACAGAAGCUUUCAGAGAUAAGCUCCACUUGGACCUGCAUGCAGGAACAAAAUAUGAAGGAGGAUGCAGAGUCAGAGAAGGACAAGCCUUGAACUUAACUGAAGGACUUACUGUCCAGCAUUGUUUGAGAGUAUAGAUGCCAGAUACUACUUUCUACCCCCCCCCCCAUCUCUUUUUAAAAAAGGAAUACUUUGAGAGUAAUUUUGUGAAUUCUAAAAGUGGAUGUUUUAGAUGAGUGCUUUUAAUAUAUUUUUAUCCUUGUUAUUAAAUAAAUUUAUGGGGGAUCAUGUGAGUAUCACCAUGUUUUAUAGAGAGACACUCGUUUUAAGGGUCUGCUACAGUUGCAGCCAAAUAUAUUGGUUCCCUUGCACUUUUCUUAAAUGAUUUCCUAUUUCUUCUAAAAUAAGUUGAACUUAAAAUGCAUUUGGUCUCCACACCUUGUUAUUGGAUUUUCAACAUUGCAAAACCAAUUAUAUUUUUGUAAACUUAAGUUUUUAAUUAGGAAAAGUAAGACAUAACAUGGACAAACUUAUUUGCACCCAUGGAGCUUGUUCUUGGUUAUACAGCCUUUGCCAACAUAACUGCAGACAAACACUUCUUGUAGCCAUCAAUGAGCUUGUUGUACAUUUCUCCUGGCAAUUUGGACCACUCAUCAGCAGCAAACUGCUGUAUGUUUGAGGGGUGGCCUCCAAGUGCUGUUUUCAGAUCUCACCAUAGGUUUUGGAUGGGAUUCAGAUCUGGCCACUUUGCUGGCCACUGCAGAACAGUCCAGAAUUUCUUCUUGAACCAUUCCUGGGUGCUUUUUGAGGUGUGUUUGGGGUCACAACCUUAAGUUGAGAUCCUGUUUUUAGACACUGGGUAGAACUCCAAAACACCUUGAUAAUCUGUUGAUUUCAUUAUUCCUUGCACAUGUUCAAGGCCUCCAGUACCAGAGGCAGCAAAUCAAUCCCACAUCAUUAUCAAUCUUCCAUGUUUGAUUGUGGGUAGGGUUCUUUUAAUUGAAUGCUUAAUAUGGUCAUCGAUAAACAGCUGAACUGUAUUUUUCAAUGGUCCACAGAACAUUUUCCCCAGGAUUUAGAAGUUUAAUCAGGAUUUGUGUAUCCUUCAGUAUUGUGGUCUAUAUUUACCAGUGACCCAAAUGAAGCAUUCAAAGAAAAGAGUGCCCUCCCUACAAUCAAACAUGGGGGAAGUUCGAUAAUGCUGUGGAAUUUCUUUGCUGCCUCUGGUACUGGGGGCCUUGAACGUGUACAAGACAUCAUGAAAUCGGUAGAUUAUCAAGGUGUUUUGGAGUGCAAUGUUCAACCCAAUGUCCAAAGACGGGGUCUCUGUUGAAAGAUGUUGGUCUUUCAGCAGGACAACACCAAACACAUUAGAAGCACCCCGAAAUGGUUCAAGAAGAAGCACUGGACUAUUCUGGAGUCCAGAUCUGAACUACAUCCAAUACCUCUGGCAAGAGCUGAAAACAGCAGUUGGUGGAGGCACCCCUCAACCGUUGAAGAAUUAUAGCCGUUUUCUGCUGAAGGGGCCUCAUUGCCAGUUGAAAGGAGCAGCAAGCUCAUUGAUGACUACAAGAAGCAUUUGUCGGGAGUUAUCUUGGCCAAAGGCUGUGCAACUCCAGGGAGCCAAUCAUUUUGUCCAUGCCAUUUAUCUUUAUUUUCUAAAAUAAAUAUGAAAAUGUAAAUAGACAAAGAAUCCAAUAACCAGGUCUUUGAGAAGAAAUGGGGAUUUCUUAAGAAAAGUGCAAGUGUGCCAAUAUAUUUGGUCGCAACUGUAUACAAAAUCCUUGUUUCUUGAAAAGUCAAGGUGUAUAAUUUUGUAUAAUUUCAGCCACUAGUUUUGAAAGUGGUGUUCACGAGCCAAAACGGAUCCCCCCCCUUUUUUUUUAGUACUACGUCAUCCAUUUUGUGUGACGUUACAAAUUUUGCAAUUUGUAUGAUAUACAAUUCGUGUGACAUGUUAUGAAUCCAAUUUGUGCAAUAUGAUACGAAUUUGUAGGGCUUAGGAUCUUUAAGGUGACUUGAAGUAACCUCAUAAUUCUGAACAGGCACACCUGCAUAUGUUUUUGACAAACUAUACGCAUCUUAAGUUCAUGGACAUCCUGACAUGUUUUAUAAAUCAUGUGACUAUACAACCUGUAACUCAAUUUGCUUUCUAAAGCAUUAAAGAUUGCAGCCUUGCUAUAGUAACAUUAGUUACCUUUUCAAUAUAUCAAAUCCAUAAACGUGUAUUAAAAUCUCCUCUCCACAUUGA